rnacentral:rRNA from 1 species
CGGGUAUACGGAGCUGCGGCGAGCGAAGCGGGAAGAGCUCAAAUUUAUAAUCUGGCACCUUCGGUGUCCGAGUUGUAAUCUCUAGAAAUGUUUUCCGCGUUGGACCGCACACAAGUCUGUUGGAAUACAGCGGCAUAGUGGUGAGACCCCCGUAUAUGGUGCGGACGCCCAGCGCUUUGUGAUACAUUUUCGAAGAGUCGAGUUGUUUGGGAAUGCAGCUCAAAUUGGGUGGUAAAUUCCAUCUAAAGCUAAAUAUUGGCGAGAGACCGAUAGCGAACAAGUACCGUGAGGGAAAGAUGAAAAGCACUUUGGAAAGAGAGUUAACAGUACGUGAAAUUGUUGGAAGGGAAACGCUUGAAGUCAGACUUGCUUGCCGAGCAAUCGGUUUGCAGGCCAGCAUCAGUUUUCCGGGAUGGAUAAUGGUAGAGAGAAGGUAGCAGUUUCGGCUGUGUUAUAGCUCUCUGCUGGAUACAUCUUGGGGGACUGAGGAACGCAGUGUGCCUUUGGCGGGGGUUUCGACCUCUUCACACUUAGGAUGCUGGUGGAAUGGCUUUAAACGACCCGUCUUGAAACACCGGGACCAA